ACUUAAGUAGUUUAAUUUAUAAAACGUUGAUUUGUGGUGUCAAUAAUGCUGUUUUGCCUUUAGUU
rnacentral:tRNA from 1 species